rnacentral:rRNA from 1 species
UACAGAGGGUGCGAGCGUUAAUCGGAAUUACUGGGCGUAAAGCGUGCGUAGACGGUUAUUUAAGUCGGAUGUGAAAGCCCCGGGCUCAACCUGGGAAUUGCAUUCGAGACUGAAUAGCUAGGGUGCGGUAGAGGGAAGCGGAAUUUCCGGUGUAGCGGUGAAAUGCGUAGAUAUCAGGAGGAACACCGGUGGCGAAGGCGGGUCUCUGGGCCGAUACUGACGCUGAGGAGCGAAAGCGUGGGGAGCGAACAGG